rnacentral:rRNA from 1 species
CUUCCCGUAGGGGUUACCUGCGGAGGGAUCAUUACACAAAUAUGAAGGCGGGCUGGAACCUCUCGGGGUUACAGCCUUGCUGAAUUAUUCACCCUUGUCUUUUGCGUACUUCUUGUUUCCUUGGUGGGUUCGCCCACCACUAGGACAAACAUAAACCUUUUGUAAUUGCAAUCAGCGUCAGUAACAAAUUAAUAAUUACAACUUUCAACAACGGAUCUCUUGGUUCUGGCAUCGAUGAAGAACGCAGCGAAAUGCGAUAAGUAGUGUGAAUUGCAGAAUUCAGUGAAUCAUCGAAUCUUUGAACGCACAUUGCGCCCUUUGGUAUUCCAAAGGGCAUGCCUGUUCGAGCGUCAUUUGUACCCUCAAGCUUUGCUUGGUGUUGGGCGUCUUGUCUCUAGCUUUGCUGGAGACUCGCCUUAAAGUAAUUGGCAGCCGGCCUACUGGUUUCGGAGCGCAGCACAAGUCGCACUCUCUAUCAGCAAAGGUCUAGCAUCCAUUAAGCCUUUUUUUCAACUUUGACCUCGGAUCAGGUAGGGAUACCCGCUGAACUUAAGCAUAUCAAUAAGUCGGAGGAAGAGG